rnacentral:rRNA from 1 species
GGCAGACGGGUGAUUUACGCGUUGGGAAUCUACCCAGGUCCUAAUAGGAAUAACUGAGGUAAACUUCAGCUAAUACCUUAUACGCCCUACGGUGUGGAAAGAUUUAUCGGGAUUGGAUGAGCCCGCGUUCGAUUAGCUAGUUGGUGGGGUAAUGGCCUACCAAGGUCGACGAUCGAUAGCUGGUCUGAGAGGAUGAUCAGCCACACUGGUGACUGAGACACGGCCCAGACUCCUACGGGAGGCAGCAGUGGGGAAUAUUGGACAAUGGGCGCAAGCCUGAUCCAGCCAUGCCGCGUGAGUGAUGAAGGCCUUAGGGUUGUAAAGCUCUUUCAGUGGGGAAGAUAAUGUACGGUACCCACAGAAGAAGCCCCGGCUAACUUCGUGCCAGCAGCCACGG